GACGAACGCUGGCGGCGUGCUUAACACAUGCAAGUCGAACGGAAAGGCCCUGCUUUUGUGGGUUUCUCGAGUGGCGAAAGGGUGAGUAACACGUGAGUAACCUGCCCCUGACUUUGGGAUAACUUUAGGAAACUGGGGCUAAUACAGGAUAGGAGCUCCUGCGGCAUGGGGGGGGUUGGAAAGUUUCGGCGUUUGGGGAUGGACUCGCGGCUUAUCAGCUUGUUGGUGGGGUAGUGGGUUACCAGGGCUUUGACGGGUAGCCGCCCUGAGAGGGUGACCGGCCACAUUGGGACUGAGAUACGGCCCAGACUCCAUCGGGAGGCAGCAGUGGGGAAUAUUGCACAAUGGGCCGAAGCCUGAUGCAGCAACGCCGCGUGCUGGAUGACUGCCUUCGGGUUGUAACCCGCUUUCGCCUGUGACGAAGCGUGAGUGACGGUAAUGUGUAAAGAAGAACCGGCUAACUACGUG
rnacentral:rRNA from 1 species